rnacentral:rRNA from 1 species
GGAUUAGAUACCCUGGUAGUCCACGCCGUAAACGAUGUCGACUUGGAGGUUGUGCCCUUGAGGCGUGGCUUCCGGAGCUAACGCGUUAAGUCGACCGCCUGGGGAGUACGGCCGCAAGGUUAAAACUCAAAUGAAUUGACGGGGGCCCGCACAAGCGGUGGAGCAUGUGGUUUAAUUCGAUGCAACGCGAAGAACCUUACCUGGCCUUGACAUCCAGAGAACUUAGCAGAGAUGCUUUGGUGCCUUCGGGAACUCUGAGACAGGUGCUGCAUGGCUGUCGUCAGCUCGUGUUGUGAAAUGUUGGGUUAAGUCCCGCAACGAGCGCAACCCUUAUCCUUUGUUGCCAGCGAUUCGGUCGGGAACUCAAAGGAGACUGCCGGUGAUAAACCGGAGGAAGGUGGGGAUGACGUCAAGUCAUCAUGGCCCUUACGGCCAGGGCUACACACGUGCUACAAUGGCGCAUACAAAGAGAAGCGACCUCGCGAGAGCAAGCGGACCUCAUAAAGUGCGUCGUAGUCCGGAUUGGAGUCUGCAACUCGACUCCAUGAAGUCGGAAUCGCUAGUAAUCGUAGAUCAGAAUGCUACGGUGAAUACGUUCCCGGGCCUUGUACACACCGCCCGUCACACCAUGGGAGUGGGUUGCAAAAGAAGUAGGUAGCUUAACCUUCGGGAGGGCGCU